UACAGAGGGGGCAAGCGUUGUUCGGAAUUACUGGGCGUAAAGGGCGCGUAGGCGGCCCGCUAAGUCGAACGUGAAAUCCCCGAGCUCAACUCGGGAACUGCGUCCGAUACUGGCGGGCUUGAAUCCGGGAGAGGGAUGCGGAAUUCCAGGUGUAGCGGUGAAAUGCGUAGAUAUCUGGAGGAAUACCGGUGGCGAAGGCGGCAUCCUGGACCGGCAUUGACGCUGAGGAGCGAAAGCUAGGGGAGCAAACGGG
rnacentral:rRNA from 1 species